UACGUAGGGACCAAGCGUUGUUCGGAUUUACUGGGCGUAAAGAGCGCGCAGGCGGUCGUUCAAGUCGCGUGUGAAAGCCCCCGGCUCAACUGGGGAGGGUCACGCGAUACUGAUCGACUCGAAGGCAGGAGAGGGAAGUGGAAUUCCCGGUGUAGUGGUGAAAUGCGUAGAUAUCGGGAGGAACACCAGUGGCGAAGGCGACUUCCUGGCCUGUUCUUGACGCUGAGGCGCGAAAGCUAGGGGAGCAAACGGGG
rnacentral:rRNA from 1 species